rnacentral:rRNA from 1 species
AUUGAACGCUGGCGGCAGGCCUAACACAUGCAAGUCGAACGAGUGGCGGACGGGAGAGUAAUGUCUGGGAAACUGCCAGAUGGAGGGGGAUAACUACUGGAAAAGAUAGCUAAUACCGCAUACCAUCGGAUGUGCGCAGAUGGGCGUAGCUAGUAGGUGGGGUAAAGGCUCACCUAGGCGACGAUCACGAGCUGGUCGGAAGGGAGGACCAGCCAAGCUGGAACUGAGACACGGUCCAGACUCCAACGGGAGGCAGCAGUGGGGAAUAUUGCACAAUGGGCGCAAGCCUUAUGCAGCCAUGCCGCGUGUAUGAAGAAGGCCUUCGGGUUGUAAAGUACUUUCAGCGGGGAGGCGUUACCCGCAGAAGAAGCACCGGCUAACUCCGUGCCAGCAGCCGCGGUAAUAC